AAGUCGUAACAAGGUAACCGUAGGUGAACCUGCGGUUGGAUCAUUGUAAUGAAUGCUAUUGGUGAGUUGAUCUCCCUUGGGGAGAACCUCGCCAGUGGUGUAACAACCUUUGUGAACCAUAAUGUACUCUGGGUCGAUGCUAACCCGCUUGGGAAAGUAUUUGACCCGCACUAAGAAUCAAUUUAAACUUGACAAUAUUUUUUAAGUAAAAUUAAAACAACUUUAGACAACGGAUCUCUUGGCUCUC
rnacentral:misc_RNA from 1 species